AGACGGCGGAGGAUUCGGAGUCGGAGAUGGAGGAGGAGGAGACGAGCAAGAAGCGGAGGAGAGGGGAAGGAGUAUCCGGGGCCGUGAAGAGGAUGAGAGAGGAGACGGCGCGUGCGUUGGAUGAUACGGGGAAGAGCGCGUGGGAGAAGAGGGAGUGGAUGAGGAGGAAGGCGCUGGAGCUGGAGGAGAGGAAGGUUGGGUACGAGUGGGAGGCGGUGGAGAUGGAGAAGGAGAGAGUGAAGUGGAUGAGGUAUAGGAGCAAGAAAGAGAGGGAGAUGGAGAAGGCUAAGCUCGAGAACCAGCGACGGAUGCUUGAGACGGAGAGGAUGGUUUUGAUUCUUCGGCGGAGGGAGAUUGAGCUGGUGGAGUUACAGUCGUUGGGUAAACGGGUCGACCCGAGUUCCGCAACGGGGUGAGCUGAUUAGUGUUAGGAACUUAGGGAUUACGAUGUUUUGGGUUAGAUUAGUUUCAGUUCUCUGGCAUGUUCAGGAUUCUCACAUUUUCGACAUAAUCAGCAAAGUCAUUUUUUUUUAUAUGUAAAGGCAAAACGUAUUUUGAAUGAUUUAAGUAGAAAAGUCAGAGGAAAUGUAUCUAUCUCGAAUCAUCGAUGAAAAGUAACAAACGAUUUAUCCAUUAGGCAAAGGUUUUCAGAAUUGUUUAAGAUCAUUAUGAAGAAGACAUGAUGAUUAUGGAUCGAUCCCUAAAAAGACCAAAAACGUAAGCACACCCGGUGGGACUCGAACCCACAAUCGUUUGAUUAGAAGUCAAACGCCUUAUCCAUUAGGCCACGGGUGCUUCUGUUGGAAUCAGUCAGGAUUAAUUUAUAUAUACUUAUGACAGUGAGUUUUUUGUUUUCUGAAAUAAAGAAUUUUGGUUCUAACAGGUUGAAAGAAAAGUUCACAACUUCUCUGAACUUAGUAUGUGCCUUCAUUUGCUUAACGCUUCACUGCACUUAGUAUCUACUGUGUUUAUUUAUCUUUGUAUAUUCGAUAGAUGAAGAUGACACGAAAAUACUUCCAACUGGAGGUUCUAUCCACUGAAAUUCUAAACUUUCAUAUAUGUAUAUAUAUAUAUAUUAUAUGCGUAUGUAAUUUUAAAUCCAUUCAGUGAAUUUUUUCUCCAUGGUGAAUGGUAAAGAAUUUUGAUUAUACCGUAUUAGUAAGAAAAUAUUUCUGUUAGACAUACUUGAAAGUUCAAACAGGUUGAAAGAACACCACUGAUUUCAUAUUUCUGUUUAAACAAGGUAAGAUUCUUCAUCUCUGUUGGGUAAAAGAAACAAGUUUCCACAGUUUUGUGAGUAAUGUAAAAAAAUCAGUUGAUUAAUUUUAAAUGGUUAAUUUUAAAAAACUAAACCAUCAAUUGAUAGUUCUCAAGUAAAACCAGGCAAAGGUGGUCCACAGUUUCAAUAAUGUUCAUCGGUCCGAACGGAUAAUUACUAGAUCAGUGUUAAGGAUAAAAUAAGAGUUUAGAAAAUAAGAAUUAAAAAAAAAUGAGACGUGUCUUGUAAUGUAGGAGAACGACAAAAGAACGUGAUGUGAAUCUUCAACUCUUCAUUAGAUACAUGUCCCCUCCCUUCUUAUCCUCACUCAACCUCACUCAUUAUAUAAACAACACUCUUCUCCUCGAAGCUCAGAGAAACGCAUAAAAAGGUAGCGAUGAAGACGGUAUCGGUGGACGAGACCAAAAACACGGUGGUGCUACGAGCUGAGCACCGGGACGAGGAAGGUCGGAAAGCUGUGGAUAAACUCGAGUUAAAGACUCGAAACCCCGACACGAUCAAGCAAGUCGAGAAGAAGCUGAUGGACAAAGGCGUCCAAAGGAUGGAGAGGCACCCUUCCGACGGGACUCAGAUCAAACGUCCGCCGCCGAAGUCAGGUCACGGCGGGAAGUACACGUGGGAGGGGUCUGAUCGGAUGGAGGACUACGAGAUGCAGCCGGAUCCGGCGGCGAUGGAUGAAGGCGAUCCUAACUACGACGAGGAGAAGAUCGGCGGUGGUGGUGGUGAUGACGUGGCGGUGGAGGUUGUGAAAGGAGAGGUUGAGGUGGCGAAGGAAGCGCCGGGAGGUGUGGCUAGGGUGGAGGUUGAUCCUCGCUUGAUCACUACUCCUUGAGUUGCUAGGACAAGGGGGAAAGUGUUGGGGCGAAUGUGAGAAGGGAGUGAAACUUUGGGGGUUUGAUUUUUAAUUUAAGUUUGUGACGUUUUAAUGUAUUGUUGACGUGUUGGGACGCUAUUUGUGUAAAGAAAUAAUAUAUACUGCAUUGAAAUGUCUCACUUGGUUUCUUCAUGUCACAGUCACUUAAUGAAUUAAUUAUUAGUUGCUGUCGGCCACUUUUACUGUGUCAUUAAUAUAAAUAUUGUAAGGUCAAGGUGUCUGUUUGUUCGGUCUGAAUCUUUCAAACACCGCCAAAUGUCCACAAGUGUGACUUGAUUUUAGUAUAAUGUUGAUUACGCUUCCAGUAACCAUAGGUGGUAUAAUAUAUGCGCAGAAGAACUCGAGUCUUCCCCCUUAACCUUUCGGGCAAAACAGCUUAUAGACUAUGCUUCAAUAGUGGUUAUCUAUUUUGUAAAAUGACAUACACUUGGGCCCAAUACAUACUUUAUUAGCGGGUAUAUUGUAACAUACAAGCCCACCAUAUACAAUAGAAUAUUAAAUUUACAAUUUGGCACCAGCAAUAUCUGAGCGUGUAUUGCAUCUGGCUCCUAUGGAAGAGGACUAAUAGAUAACAUCUGAGUAUCUGACCCAUGAUUUCUUAAGCACAUUUACCUAAAAUAAUUUACACUAUUAACUAGUACAUUAUGCUGCAAGAAUGGCUUCACAGAUAUAAAAAAUUGUAAAUUAACUACAAAGGCUAUAAGACCAUCUCCAAUGUAUUUUGUUAUUUCUACCUCUAAAAUAGAGGAACUCUAUAAUAGAGAUGGAAUAUGCUCCAAUGUAUUCCUCUAAAAUAACAAUCUCUAAAUGUAGAGUAAAAAAUAGAGGAAUGCUAUUUCUUUCUCUAUAAAUAGAGGAAAAAAUAGAGAUCUCUAUUAUAGAGGUGGGUUGGAGCAAUUUCACUUCUAAAUGCUAUUAUAGAGGUGGAAAUAGCUAUGGAUUGGAAAUGCUCUAAGAAGUAGAAAAAAGGAUUAACAGAAGUAGAAAAAGAGAGUAGUGUUUAGUUACAAGCACUACUAGCUGAGUAUGUUUUUGAAAUUACUUCCUAGAAAACAUAAUAAACCCUCCAGGAACCCUAACAAAGUAUGAUAAUAACAAUAGUAGUAAUAUAACACACGACGAUUAUAAAAUUACAUUUCAUCAUCACAAAACCUAAACGUGGGGUUAAAACACUCAGAGAAUGGAUCUCUGGCCCUCAAGAAGUUCCUUUGUUCUGUCUUGGGCUCAAAGUGAGUGUAUCUAUGUUCUUGCUCAGCUCUUCUAGCUUCUUCAUUCUCAUCUUCUCGCUUUCUCCCACCAACUGCGAAUCAUUCGUUGUUUCAAAGACCAGUUAGUCAAGAGUACAAAUCAGAAUGAAUAUAUUAUCAACAAAGCUCAGAGCUCUAAAGAUAGAGAACCACAAAAGGAGAGGAAGUGAACACCAAGUAGAACAGUUAAACAAAGCAUUCAAAUACUAACCUCCAUUAGCUUGGUGAUUAGCUGCACCUUCUCUCUGUUCUUUUCGUUGAAUGCCUCAAGAGCUUCUUUGUACUCUCGUUCCUGCACAUUGCAUAAAAUACACCAAACCGAUUAGCAUCUUAAUAAUCUCUCAACCAGACAUAUAUUUUGAAAACGAGAUUAAAUGAAUUUGAUUAUUAUGCAAAGGCCAUACCUUUUUCUGAACAGUAAGACUCAAUGGCUUUAACUCUUUGUUGACAGAGUCAACCUUCUUCCUGACCAAAGCAACUUCUUUCCUCAUUGGGUCAGCUAAACCUUCAAGUUCCUGAAUAUUCAAUUCAACCAUUUAGCUCCUUACUCAUCAAAGUAAAUUCACCCAGAAGAUGCAAAUGGUUCUUCUCAUAAAAAAGGAAAUAGCUUUGAUCCCCAAAACUCAUCUAAACCCCAGAAACCAAACUAAAUCCUUAAGCCCAACACAAAAGUCUCAUCCUUUACGGAACAAACCACAAAACCCAACACAAAAGUAUAAUCCUUUUUGUUCAAUUCAAUUGUCAGAUCUUGAAACCAAAAUUCAAGUACAAUUCUCAAAACAAGAAAAAAAAACUAAGUAAAGAUUGUGAUGAUGAUGAGGAUGAUAAUUAUAUAUAUUACCUCACGGAUCAAAGCGAGACGCUUAGUCUCUUCUUCGACACGACCAAGCUGAGCUUGAACCCUUUCCCUAAUCUCCAUCUUCUUCUUCUCGAUCUCCUCUUCUUUGGCUCUGCAAGCAGACAAAGCAUUCCUCGACAUCUCUUCAUCUUCCUUCGACAUUUGGCUGCUGAAACUCAUGCUUCCCGACAGCUGAGUCCCUAACUGUCGGCUCUGCACCGUUGGCUGCGACGUCUCUGCUGCCUUCAUGCUUCUUCUUAACUAAAACCUCGAUCUCUGACUCUCUUGUUCUGUCUCUCUCUCUCUCUCUCUCUGUGGUUCUAGGUUCUUCUGUGGUAGAGAAAAAUGUAAUGGAUACUGUCUGGGUUUUUCUUUUUGAUCCCAGAGAAAUAGUGUUGUGAUAUGAACAUAUAUUAAUAAAAAGAUAAAUUAAAAAGCGAAAAAUACAGUGGUAUAACGGGAACUUUUUAAAAUAUUAUAAUAUUGAUAACGUAUAAUAAACAAACGAGACAACAGGUAAAAAUUAGGGAUGGCGUUCGGGUACUCAUUCGGGUUCGUUUCAGGUCUAUUCGGGUUUUUGUGGUUAAAGAUUUUAGUCUUAUUCGGAUAUUUCUAAAUUUUGGUUCAUGUUCGGUUCGGAUUUUUCCGGGUUCGGUUCGGGUUUGGAUAACCCAUUUAAAUUAUUUUUAAAAUUUUAAAAUUCAUUAUAUAUUUAAAUUACUCAAAAUCUAUAAACAAAAUAAUAUAUUCGACAUUCUCGGGAAAGGGACAGCGUGUCGUGUCGUGGAGAAUCAAGCCUUGCUCGAGACGAUGGAUCAUCAUCUCACUCCUAAACUGAAAGACGAGGUCAAGAAGCUGCUCAACUCUAAGCAUCUCUUCUUCAAGGAGAUGUGCGCUUACCACAACAGCUGCGGCCAUCUCGACCAACCGCAACAACCGAGUCAGGAUCCGAGUCGGCACCGUCCCGAGCAGCAGAGCUGUAUUCACGCGGCGGAGGUAGCGGAAGAGUCGGAGACGGCGGAGGAUUCGGAGUCGGAGAUGGAGGAGGAGGAGACGAGCAAGAAGCGGAGGAGAGGGGAAGGAGUAUCCGGGGCCCUGAAGAAGAUAUCAGAGUCUUCCUUGUGUUCACCACGGUUGUUCUUGAGCUCCUGUUAGAAACAAAUCUGGGACUAGCUCAAUGUGUAACCUUAUUUCCCACGAGCUCUCAGCGCUAUGUUAGUAUGUUGUCGACUUUUGGAUACCUUUCAUCAAAUAAUUUGAAGCUAACCUUGGAAUAAAACUUGCCAUUUUGUAUGGAUAAAAAGUAUGCUUUCUAAUGUAUAAAAUAUCUAUGAAAGAAUAUUUAAGGCCGUGAGUAAUAUAUAAUUCAGAUGAUAAAAGUGUAUAAAUUAUCUUACAAUAUGUAAAAAAGACACACUUUUUGUUACAAUAUCUAGCUAGUUUUGUUAGAUAAAUACUUAAAUAGAGACGUUAAAAUACUAUGGUAGAAUAUUUACCAGAAUCCAAUAUUUAUUUUUAAACAAAUUGUUUUUUGUUAAUGGAGAUUGAUAUAUGUAGGUGAACAAAGAAGAUUCAUAUUUGUAUGCAGAUAUGCAUGAUAUAAAUACUAUUAAUAAAAAAUGUAAUAUUUUUAAAAUAAACUAUAUCUUUACAUUAUUAUUGUUGGUGUUGUAAAAUUGUAAUAGUGCAUUUUUCUUUUAUUUAAGAAUCACAGUUAAAAAGGUAUAUAUAUAUACUUGUCAUUUAUAUUUUGUCAACAUUUUUUUUUUGUCAACCAUAUUUUGUCAACAUUUACAUUUUCUAAACUUAUAGUUCAAUUAAAAGAAAAAUCUUAUGAAUUUUUUUUGGAUUUAUUGUCGUCACAAACGGUGGCCAGAAAAAAAGCAGCUCCAUAGUAUUACCAAAACCAGGCCCUUGGUUUUGGCUUGACUUGACUAUGAACAAAAUCUCCAAAAAAGGAAAGAAAAAUUAAAAAUAAAAAAACAAAACCAAAACCACAAAACCAUGGGUAGUUUUCAGACCAUCCCUUUGACGGCCCAAAACCAGCUACUCUGUUUCUCUGUUUUGUACUAUAUCUUACUCAACUCUCUCUCUCUCGUCCUUUGACUCUCUGAUACAGAAACCACUUCACAAUUCAAAUAAGAUGGACCCUAACGGCUUCUCUGCGUUUGAUCCGAGAAUGUUAACCUUAGAAACCCCGCAGAACCCACCAAACCCGGUGCAGUUCCAGCAUCCGCAUCCUUACUCCACCGCCGGCGAUCAGCAUCCACACCAACAACAACCGUUGAAGUCCUUGUACCCUCGCUCCUCCAAAGCCAUGCAACUCUCCCCGUUAAGCGGCGGCGACGACGAAGACCGCGGGUCUGGUUCCGGGUCCGGGUGCCACCCGGAAGACAGCGUCGGAACCGACGGGAAGAGGAGAGUCUCUCCGUGGCAUCGGAUGAAAUGGACGGACACGAUGGUUCGGCUCCUGAUCAUGGCGGUGUACUACAUCGGCGACGAAGGUGGGUUAGUAGGCGAUCAAACCGAGGCCAAGAAAAAAAUCAGCGGCGGCGGCGGAGGAGCGGUGUUGCAGAAGAAAGGGAAGUGGAAGUCGGUGUCGAGAGCAAUGGUGGAGAAAGGCUUCUCUGUUUCGCCGCAACAGUGCGAAGACAAGUUCAACGACUUGAACAAAAGGUACAAGAGAGUCAACGACAUUCUCGGGAAAGGGACAGCGUGUCGUGUCGUGGAGAAUCAAGCCUUGCUCGAGACGAUGGAUCAUCUCACUCCUAAACUAAAAGACGAAGUCAAGAAGCUGCUCAACUCUAAACAUCUCUUCUUCAAGGAGAUGUGCGCUUACCACAACAGCUGCGGCCAUCUCGACCAACCGCAACAACCGAGUCAGGAUCCGAGUCGGCACCGUCCGGAGCAGCAGAGCUGUAUUCACGCGGCGGAGGUAGCGGAAGAGUCGGAGACGGCGGAGGAUUCGGAGUCGGAGAUGGAGGAGGAGGAGACGAGCAAGAAGCGGAGGAGAGGGGAAGGAGUAUCCGGGGCCCUGAAGCGGAUGAGAGAAGAAACGGCGCGUGCGUUGGAUGAACCGGGGAAGAGCGCGUGGGAGAAGAAGGAGUGGAUGAGGAGGAAGGCGCUGGAGCUGGAGGAGAGGAAGGUUGGGUACGAGUGGGAGG
rnacentral:lncRNA from 1 species